AAGCUCUCAUCUCAAAUCCUCUUUUACCUUCACUAGGUCGAUAACAAAGCAAUGGCUUCCAAAACAAACUCAACCAGCUUGGCCCUCAUCCUUAUUGCAGUACUCAACAUUCUCUUCUUCUCCGUGGUUUCCGGGGCCUCGAACCCUAACCCUAAACCCACACUUGCAACUAGUCCAAAACUUGCACCAACGGUUGCACCAACACCUACUUCUGACCCAAACUCCAAACCAACAACAUCAACAAAGUGCCCGGAUCUACGUCCUUGCGGUUUCAUGCCGCUUAGCGGUGCAUGUUGCGUGGUGUUUGCUCAAGUCACCGAUGCUACUGCAGCCGCCAGUUGCAUUUGCAAUGCCCUUAAAGACUCUCCAGCUGGCCCUGGUCAAUUCCUCACGGACCUUAGCCAGCUUAUCUCGUUUACUUUCGUGCAAUGUGGCAGGGCGGCUCCCUCAAACCUCACCUGCUCUAAAUAUUGAUGCAUCAACUCCACCGUACCAAGGCUCGUCGAUCGUCAUCGGCUUACUUUCAAUAACUAGUUAUUUGUACUACUACUACUACUACUACUAUUACGUACUUUCAGUUUGACUUGCUGCUAUGCAUGCAUGUUCUUGGUGAAACGACUACGUUUCAUGAUCAACAGAUGGCAGCAUGAGUUGGUGUGUUUUUUUUUCAGUUCUAGUGUCGAUGUUGGGAUCGACCAAUACUUAAUGUGCCAUAUCAUGCAGUUUCAUAAUAAUAAUAAUAAUGUUACUAAUGAUUUAAUAAUAAUCGCUAUUUGGUUAUCUUUAAUGUUAAUAUUUGCAAAUAGUCAACUGGAGGGGGUCGAUAUCCUUCGUCCUGAGCCGUCUAGAUUUCCCAAUUCAACUAUAUUUUCACCUACAUAAUUAAAAAAACACUCCAAAAUGGCAUCUAAAAUAUUGAUAUAAAAUUAGUAAAGUUCAUGUAAACUACUACUAAUUAAGUGAAGAAAAAGAGCAGGAAAUGUCCCUUAAAAUAGAGUUGAUCGUGUGCAAUCACUAUAAAAAUUGAGUAUUUUCUGCACCAUAACAUCUGUUGUAAAUAGUCAUUGAUUUCCAAUUAUUUAAAUUGUUGAGAUGUCAUCCAUCUAAGUUGGCGGAAUAAUAUUUGACUCAACUCAAAUUAUUAAUUUUAGUCAAUUUUGAUUAUCAAAUUCCGAUCCGAUUGAUCGACUUGUGUAAACAAAAAAUGUAAGAACUGGACAUCGACCUUGAUCUCACUAGGUGUAAGUAGUGGCUAUGGAGUAUGGAUCGGACCAAUAUUCGGGUACUCGAAAAGACCAUGGGCUACAGAUGCCUGAGACCACGUUAGGCUAGGUUUCAGUGGGCCAUUAGGGGCAAUAUCAGCUAUUGGGCUUGUGUCAAGUUCAGGCUUUUUCGUAAAAGAACUUCACAUGUUAAUUGAUUUGGUACUACAAUUAAUUAAAACAAUUCUCUCCCAAUACAUGGAAAAUCCAUACAAACAAGUUGCUUAUAUAGUGAUGUUGGUAGUUGUAUUUGAAAGGAUAAAUUAAGAUUUAAUUUUCGUAAUAGUUUUGAGAGAGAAAUAAAAUUUUAAUUUUGGAACCAUUUUUGAUUGGAUUAAUCGAUCAAUAAAUCGAAUACUAAAAUUCAUAAAAUAAAAUAAAUGAAAAAUGGUACAAUGAAAAACAAACAUUAGUGAUACCUUAAUACUAAAAUAUAACUUGAUGCACCGAAUACCAAACAUAAGUAAAAUCCGACCAUAUAAACAACCUAGUGUUAGCUAGACUGCUAGGUUUAAAACUACAUUCAAGGCUAUGCUUCAUAUAUAUUUAUAAAUAAUAAUCAAGCAAUUGACUUUUGCAUUUUUAUCUAGAGAUGAGAUNNNNNNNNNNNNNNNNNNNNNNNNNNNNNNNNNNNNNNNNNNNNNNNNNNNNNGUUAUUUAUGAGAACUAAGUUCAUUGGCCAUUAGUAGAAAAAUGAAGCAUAGCCGACAUGAAAAUGGCAACCAAAGUCUAUACAAAUUCCAAAAUAAAUUGCUGCUAUGAAAACGACUGAACUCUCUAAAAUUCUAAUUUCGUUUACUGAUCCAAUACCGUGUUUAGUCAACCCUCAAGCACCACAAAAACAAACCAUAAUAUCAAUCCUAAAUUCCUUUAAACCAGACCAAUUACGUAGUUUUUCUAGAGAAUGAAACGAAAUUACGAACGAAAAAAUAAGAAUACAUAAUACAUAUAUGUGUUGAUCUAGUUUUCUUUUGCGAAAAAAGUAUGUUUGGGGUGCUGGAAAGACAGUGUUAUAACUAUGUUGUGAUUGUAUAUAUACCAAACACAAUGAUAAAAAUAUAAGUAAUGUACAAGCUACCCCAUUAAACCAUAAGUUUCUACUGAAGUAGACAAAUUAAUAAGGCCCAACCCAUUACCAAAACCACAAAAUAGGUCAGCAAAUUGGCCUGAUUCAAUUAUCCAUCAAUAUUUAGUCCAUCGAUCUUCAUAACCUAAUAGUUUUACGUAAGAAAAGUUGGUAAUGGUGAGUUUAACAGAUUAAGUUUCACGUAAAAUAAGAACCUCAUAUGUGGGAAUUCAGAAAUAUAAUUACAGCCAGAAAAUCUUAGAGCCACAAGUGGGUUUCAUGGCUUCUUUCUAAUUGUCAUUAUUCACCAAGUCUACUCCAUAUAUAAUUGUCAACUUUAGUGGCCACCAUACCAUCCCCUAAAACCCUAUAAAUACCCAAGCUCAUGAUUCCUUCUCAACUCACCAAGCUCCCUUCAUCCCAACCCAUCUCACCAAGCUAUCUAUUUGAGCUCAACAUCCAUCAUCUACACAAAUCAAUGGCUUCCAAAGCAAACUCAACCUUGGCUCUCUUUCUUGCACUCAACCUUCUCUUCUUAUCCAUGGUCUCUGCACAUUGCGGUGGUGGUUGCCCUACUCCGAACCCAAACCCUAAACCAACACCAACUCCUAACCCGAACCCGAACCCCACACCAACACCUACUCCUAACCCGAAUCCAAACCCUACACCAACACCAACACCUACAAUCCCUAACCCUACACCAACACCUGCAAACCCUAAACCUACACCAACUCCUGCAAACCCAAACCCUACACCAACACCUAGCUCUUCAAGUGGCAAAUGCCCCAUUGAUGCACUCAAGUUGGGAGUAUGUGCUGAUGUCCUUAGCAAUUUGCUCAAUAUCAAGAUCGGGAGCACUCCGGUUCAACCUUGUUGCAGCUUACUCAAUGGACUUGCUGAUCUUGAUGCAUCUGUAUGCCUUUGCCCUGCCAUCAAAGCCAACAUUCUCGGCAUCAAUCUCAACGUCCCAAUUUCCCUCAGCUUACUUCUCAAUGCCUGCGACAAGAAUGCUGCAUCUGGCUUCCAGUGCUCUUAAUUCACAUGCCCAAUUGCCCACAACGUAUUAUGCAAUAAUAAUCGAGUACUUGUUAUUUCGGUUUUUCUUAUCAUGUUGUUGUUUAAGUUGUCUAAGUUUACGAGCUUAGUUUAUUUCAUGUUACAAGAUAGUUCGUUUGGUCGACAUAUAUUUACAUAUGUCGAUUUAAUGAUCUUUUCGUUUUAAGGUAAUUUUAUCCCAUCAAUAAUUUACCUAUCUCAUGUGAUGUCCCAUUAUAAGAAUGUUUUUAUUUUAUUUUGUCUAAUGAGUAUAGUCUAAAAAGAACAAAUUCAAGCCAAGUGUUCAUGGGCUGGUGAUAGCCCCAGACCAAGUUGGGCUUGGACAGAAUAUUGAGCAGGCUUCACCAUUUAGGCUAAAAGGUAAAAUGGAUUAUGGGUGUAUGGAAGCAUAAACAUCCCCAAAUUGGUAAAUAUUGGUUACCACCGCCCAUAUCGAAAAUAAAACUCAACCAACCGUUCUGUGAAAGAAUGAUCUCAUUCUAAUGAAUCGAGUUGUUAGAAUAGGGUCUAAAAAAGUUACAUAUCAUUUUAUUUUAAUAAUUCAAGUGGUUGGAAGUGGGUUUGAAACGGGUAAUAUAUUCAUUGUAAUCAUUUAUGAAAAAACAUGGUGUAUAAAAUUUGGUGUAAUAUGUGGUAGUUAACUUAAUAUCGGGAAUAGGAACACGUCAGUUCCACCUUGUUGCAGUUUGAUUACUGAUGUGUUGUAUUAUCGACACAUUUGUUCCCGUUAUAAACUACAUUUUUGUGUGUCGAUAUGUAUUCAAAUUCGAGAUUUUUAGUACAUGUUUGGUUUCUCUUGCCCCGUGCUGUGUUACGUUGUUUGAGAUAUUUUUAUGCAUUUCAGGCGAUUUACGGUGUUUGGGGACAAGCGGGAAACACAUUUAGUGCGUUUUGUUUAGGUGUAGAUUAGCUCGAUAGAGGAGUCUGCGGUUAAGCAAAAUAGAUCCUUAGAGGCGCGAGAGUGAUCUAAGACUACCAUACGAAAUUGUGAAGCCAUUAUAACCUGAAUAAUUGAGAUAACUUGUGGUUCAUCCAUGCAUUGCUAGUUUUAGUGGAUUCGAAUCCGAGCAACCUUAAUUCCCAAUUUGAAACUCAAUCUCUUGAAUUUGUUUUCCUUUUCGUUGAUUCUUAGAUAUUAAUUAGUUACUUAAAACAUUCACAAAAACAAUCAUAUACUGUUACUUGGUCUAAUUAGUUAAUCGAAUUGAAUAAUAAAAGUAAAAAGACCUUAAGAAAAUUAACGAUCCCGCUAUAACAAUCUAUUAAAUAUUUAAUUGACGAAGUAAAAUUUAUUAUUUGAUUAAAGAAGUAAAAUUCGUUGAUUUUGAUGUUGCUGUUUGCAUUUGCACGGCCAUCAAAGCCAAUAUUUGAGCUUCUCGAUUCAUGAUUCAUCAUCUUUUUCUUUGUGUAGUGAUCAGAAGCAAUUUAAAUGACCGAACACAGAAUAUUUAGGUUUUUUUCGUUCUUAAUGUGUUGUUGUCUUCGAUAAUUGUUUCGACAAUUCAAAACAAACAAUCACGAUCACACUCAAAAUUUGACUAACUUAACAGGUCAAGAAUAUGUAUAUAUAUUCAUCCGAAAUUUGGCAUAUAUAUUAUAUUAUUUCUAAGCAAAUUCCAAGUCUACACGGUAGGCUUCAUGGUCAACUUUUGUUGGCCUCCAUUAAAUCUGAGAGUCGGUUAAUUCGGUUAUUAUUGUCGGUUAACGGUCGAAAAAAAUUACAUGAUCAUUCUGAUCGAUUAAUUUUUUUAACCGACCUACUAACCGCUACGGUUAAUCAACCGACCAACUAAUUUAACUGACACUGUAAUGCCAAAAUUAUAAUAGUUUCCAUUGAAUUUGGGGUAAUUUUACUUAGAUUUGAGGAUAAUUUUAAUUUUUUGGUUAAUCAUAAUUAACCGACUUUUAACCGGUUACCCAAUUUCACCAAUGCAUCCACCGUUUCACCAAACGAUCUAAUUUUGCUUAAAUGGAUUUUUAACCGAUUUGGUUCGUUAACUGAUUAACCGAAAUCGAAUUCCCAACACUAGCCUCCAUGAUAGCUAGCAUCACCUUAAAGCACUAUAAAAUCCCCAACCAUGGUUACUUUCCAACUCACCAAGCUCUCAUCUCAAAUCCUCUUUUACUUUAAGCUCGAAAACAAAUUAAAGCAAAUGGCUUCCAAAACAAACUCAACUAGCGUGGCUCUCAUCCUUAUUGCAGUACUCAACAUUCUCUUCUUCUCUGUGGUUUCCGGGGCCUCAAACCCUAACCCUAAACCCACACUUGCAACUAGUCCAACACCUACGAAUUCUACGUGCCCCGAUCUAGGUCCUUGCGGUUUUGUGCCGCUAAGCGGUGCAUGUUGCAUGGUGUUUGCUCAAGUCAACGAUGCUACUGCAGCCGCCAACUGCAUUUGCAAUGCCCUCAAAGUCUCUCCAGCUGGCCCUGGUCAAUUCUACCAGGACCUUAGCCUGCUUGUCGCGUCUACUUUCGCACAAUGUGGCAGGUUGGCUCCCUCCAACCUCACCUGCUCUAAUUGAUGCAUCAACUCAACCGUCACGGCUUAUUUUCAAUAACUAGUUAUUUGUACUACUACUACUACAACGUACUUUCAGUUUGACUUGCUGCUAUGCAUAAGGCAUGCAUGUUAUUGGCGAAACGACUACGUUUCAUGAUCAACAGAUGGCAGCAGUUAGUGUGUUUUCUUUUCCUUUCAGUUCUAAUGUCGAUGUUGGGAUCGGCCAAUAAUAUGGCAUAUCAUGCAGUUGCAUAAUAAUAAUAAUAAUAAUAAUAUAAUAAUAAUCAA
rnacentral:lncRNA from 1 species